UACGUAGGGUGCAAGCGUUGUCCGGAUUUAUUGGGCGUAAAGAGCUCGUAGGCGGUUAGUCACGUCGGAUGUGAAAACCCGGAGCUUAACUCCGGGCCUGCAUUCGAUACGGGCUGACUAGAGUGUUGUAGGGGAGACUGGAACUCCUGGUGUAGCGGUGAAAUGCGCAGAUAUCAGGAAGAACACCGGUGGCGAAGGCGGGUCUCUGGGCAACUACUGACGCUGAGGAGCGAAAGCGUGGGGAGCAAACAGGAUUAGAUACCCUGGUAGUCCACGCCGUAAACGGUGGGCGCUAGGUGUGGGGAACAUUCCACGUUCUCCGUGCCGCAGCUAACGCAUUAAGCGCCCCGCCUGGGGAGUACGGCCGCAAGGCUAAA
rnacentral:rRNA from 1 species